rnacentral:rRNA from 16 species
AGGCGCUUGGGUGAAUCACGGUUAAGGAACUAGGCAAACUGACCCUGUAACUUCGGGAUAAAGGGUCCCUACCCUUUUAGGGAGGGCGCAGAGAAUAGGUCCAGGCAACUGUUUAACAAAAACACAGGGCUGUGCCAAUACGAAAGUAGCCGUAUACAGCCUGACACCUGCCCGGUGCCGGAAGGUUAAGAGGAGGUGUGAGAGCGCCGAAUUGAAGCCCCGGUAAACGGCGGCCGUAAC